ACGCUCGACACCUACGGGAGGCGGCAGUAGGGAAUCUUCCACAAUGGACGCAAGUCUGGUGGAGCAACGCCGCGUGAGUGAAGAAGGUCUUCGGAUCGUAAAACUACUGUUGUUAGAGAAGAACACGAGUGAGAGUAACUGUUCAUUCGAUGACGGUAUCUAACCAGCAAGUCACGGCUAACUACGUGUCAGCAGCCGCGGUAAUCUGAGCGGGCUGGCAAGGC
rnacentral:rRNA from 1 species